rnacentral:rRNA from 1 species
UACGUAGGGCGCAAGCGUUGUCCGGAAUUAUUGGGAGUAAAGAGCUCGUAGGCGGCUUGUCGCGUCGGAUGUGAAAGCCCGGGGCUUAACCCCGGGUCUGCAUUCGAUACGGGCAGGCUAGAGUUCGGUAGGGGAGAUCGGAAUUCCUGGUGUAGCGGUGAAAUGCGCAGAUAUCAGGAAGAACACCCGUGGCGAAGGCGGCUCUCUGGGACGGUACUGACGCUGAGACGCGAAAGCGUGGGGAGCGAACAGG